GAUUCCACUGGGCGCUAUAGGCAGGGCGCACUCACCGAACUCCCCAAUCCCUUCCAGCCUCAGAGCCCGCCUGGCAGGACUACUGAGCAAGGCCUUGGAAAAUCGGAGCGAUUAGAGCGGUUCAAACAAUACAGAAGUGUAUAAAGUAAGAAUUGAAAGUCUCUUCGCUGCUCUAAUCUCACUCCUCAGAGGUGAUCACUGUGUGGAAGAUGAUCAAAGUAUGACAUUUCUUCUACCCCAGAGGCUGGCAUUUCUGCAGGCACAAAUGAGCUUGGUUUUCAAGCACUGCUCUUUGAACACAAGGAAUUCCUUUAAUGAUCACGCCGGACUAUAUAGACUUUGGAAUCAGACUCUUUGAAUUCCAGCUCUGCCAUUUACCAACUUUGACACUUUGGACAACGUCUCAUUCUGUCACCCAGGCUGGAGUGCAGUGGCACAAUUAUAGCUCACUGCAGCCUCAAACACCUGGGCUCAAGCAAUCCUUCCACCUCUGCCUCCUGAGUAAUUGGGACUACAGGUAUUAUGUUUCUAUUAAUGCAGUCUAAAGGGUUUUGGAAAUCUGGAUUGUAGCAGGGCAUUGUGGAUCUGCCUGUUGGUGGAGAACCCUAGACUGCAUGCAGCCAUGCACAUGAUCUGGAGACACAGCAGGUCAUCCUCAGCAUUUAUACUCUCUCUCCUUUUGUGCCCCCAUGGACCAAGUUAAGAAGGUGUAGGCUUCAAAUCUUAAGAUCGGUCACCACAAAAUUCAAAAAGACAAGGUCUUUGUCUGUUGCUCAGGAUGGAGUGUAGUGGUGCCAUAGCACACUGUAAUCUUGAAUUUCUGGACUACUGGCAUACACCACCAUGCUUAGGUUCGGGCCACAACAUCCGUGACUUUACCGGUUUUGGUCUCUUCCUUGUAACUUUCGGCUCCAGGAUGCUGCGCAGCUCCUCUCUGCACUAUCUAUCAGAACGUUGCUCUGCGUGCUUGAAAGUUUCGCCAAACAGAAGUACACAAAAACAAACAGAGGCGAAACACAAAUCCCCUCAGCCCUGGAGGAAAAGGCCUUGAAGCUCUUCCAGUGCAGAGGCCACGCAGAGGACAUGCUCCUACCUGUGCACAUCGGCCACGCCUGGGGUGCCUCCUGGAGUCCAGGCUGCUGGCGAUGGAAUCCAUCAUGUUGCUGAUGUCACUACUCUCAACUCCUGAUGGCAUCAGAACACAGGCAGCAUCAAGAUCAGGCUCAAGAUGCAGGAUUUUAUCAUCCAAAUCAGGCCCACAUAUGGAUGAAACCCUUCAGGUAUUCUGCACAUCUCUCAGGAAACCCAGAUGAAAUUGAGUGCCUGCUGCCCACAUCAGCAACCCAGACAUCCCACUUGAUUCUGCUUCUGGAGCCUAAGAUGGGAAAAUGGCAGGUGUCGCAGGUUGCAGGGGAAGGUCGGAGACCAGUUGAGGGCCCCGGAGUCUGUCUGGAAAGAGUUUUCCAUCCAGCCCGUCUCGGUUUCCGCAUCCGUGUGAGUCCUUUAUGACGUCGGGAAUGCCAAGGUCUGAGUCCUUUAUGAUGUUCAGGGUGCCCCGGUCUCACCCCGGGAGCCUCCUCGCUCCGGCCUGCUCCUGGCUACCCGGUGGGCGGCUCUGGCCCCAGCGACCCGCUACUGUUUCUCCAUGCGCUGCCACUUCGCAAAGGCACAUCUCUAGGUCAGUGGUCAGCUGCAGCCAGGGCGCUGCAACUCGCUCCAGGACUCGGGAAUCAGGGCCUUGGUGGGCCUCGCAGAGUGCUGGGUGUGUCGCCUGCGGGCUCCUCUUUUGGAGAAAGGAGGGAGGGAAAGGCCUUGUGAGACGACUCCAGGAGCGACCAGCGACCCCCACAAGGCCCAAGUCCUCCCAGCGCACUCAGAAACAGUCACUUAAAUGGCAAUAAGGUUGAGAAAGACUCUCCCGUGCCCCCGUGCUGGUGUAGUGGCUGUGAUUCAGUCCUUUCACCACCGCAUCCCGGGUUCGAUUACCGGUCAGGGAGUUGUUUUGCACUGACUGCCCACCCGCAGUAAUCUUUCUUUACUCCGCUGUCAGCCGGCCUGCUCCAAGAGCCAGAGGCAGAAGAGUCUCCCUGCAAGGUGCAAACCCUGGCGAAGGAGGGCAAGUCCUGGUGGACGGCCUCUCAUGACACACCCUCUUAUUUAUCUCCGUGUCCACCAUUCGCAGAAGGGGCUUUAGAGAGCGACUGAGCGUCUCGCUCAGGUGUACACCACCGUGCAGAGAUGGCAGCUCUCCUGGAGGUGUACCCAAGAAGCCCACCAUCUUUGCCGCCUCCGCCAUCCCAGAGGCGCCGAUUGGGCUGAGCUGCAAAUAACUAAGAGAGAGAGAGGCCAAGCCAAGUCGUGGCGUUUGUGUGCGGCACACGUCGUCAGCUGACACAGGCGGUCAGCUGAGCCUCCUCACCUCAGUUCGCAGCUAACAUGCUUCUUAGGCCUUCGGAAGAGGCGACAGGAGGCGAUGGCCGCGAGGUUGGGAGGGGGGUGAGCGGCGGGUGAGGUCCUCCAGGACCGCCCAUUUAUUGACUGGGUGGUACAGGAGGGCGAUGUUCGCUUACCCAACAACGACAGCAGGUGGAGUAGGCACUAAUGGAAAACUGUGGCCGGUGCCCUAAGCAGAAGGCAGGUGUAAAAAUCACUAGGACAUCAAAGGGAUAGUACCACAGUCAAAUCCCGCAAUGUCUGUCUACACUCUACCAAGCAAUUGUGCACCCUCCCCCUUUUCCAUUCAGUACUCCCAAGAAGGGUUGGGACGAACCCUGUGUCCACUGUAAAGCUCAGGGGAGAGCGGGAGCGAGGGAGGUGAAGUGCACAGACUGGGCAGAGGCGGCGGGCAGAACUGCGGGGGUGAGAGGGCGCGGUGGCUGCGGGGCGGGAGCCUCUGCUGAAAGGAGGCCUGGGUUGUCCUGUGGGUGACUGUUGGUGGAAUCUUUGGCAGCGAGUGGUUGGAAGAAUGGCGACGGGCGAGCAGAGGGGAAGGUGGUGACCCUGAGCGUCUGGCUAGGGGAGAGGAGGCUGUACUGACACUCGUCUCCUCUUACCUGGCGAGGGACAGACCGUGGUCAAGAAGGGAGCUCUCCCUGGUUGAGGCUAGUCCACCACACUCCAGCUGCUCUGACCCCUGCGAUUUCCCUACACGCGGGGCGCUUGUCUGCGGUGGUGUUUGCGCUACCCGGGGGCUGGGUUCACGCAGGCUCCUGACAGUCCUUGGCUCACCGCCCCCGACGCGGAUAUCGCCGCUAGAGACCCUUCCGCCACCCUCCUAGGGAUCUUGAGGGCCUUCCUUGUUGUUCCGACUGAAGCUCACGAACAGACAGAUGUGAGCUCUCUGUCUUUUACACGUUGAAUUUGGCUAUUGGCAAAAAAAGCCCUGACCCAGAGCUUGGGACUCCUCCCGGCCUGCACACGACUUCCCGACUCUUGCCUCCUAGCGCGGCUCUUGGCUAGCGGGCGGGCAGCCUCCACCCAGCGUAGAACCGCGGCAGCCGCAGCCCCCGCAGGCUGGCGGUCAGACACUAGCAGGAAAAGGGACACAAGGCCUGCGUGGUGGGAAAGCAUGGGAGACGUCGCUUUCCCACCAGGCGAGAAGGUCUCCCUACAGUCUUUGGACAGAAGAUGGAGGGAGGCACCCCUUCCAGGAGCAAGGCGGCUGCUCCUGAGGCCUGGCUCCGCACGGAGGCUCCUGGGUCCCGCGCGCCCUCUCCCUACCGGUUAUAGCCAGAGCUGCUUCACACAUCUCAGCCGGCUUCCUCUUCCGCCUCUGCCACCUCUUCCUCCCCAGCUCGUGGGAAAGACCUAGCCUCCUCUCCAACACUUGGAGAGGGAGUUGGAUGAACGUCUCCUAACCCCAGUAGGACAGAGAUCCUGAGGUAGGAGGGGACCCCUUGCCUUGCUGCUUCUUUUGGCACCGCUGACCCGGGCCCAGGACUCCUCGCUCCUCCUGGAAGGCCUGGGUCGUGUAGCCCACAGAGGUGGCCACGUGGGCAUCUCCCCCACUGCUCCUCAUAGAACCGGAGGCAUUAUCCUGCCGGGCCCACUCUUACCCAUGAAAGAAACUUGGGAAAUGCUCCCGGGGAAGCCGGGGAUCUGGGCGCUCGACCACUUCGGUGUGAAUCUUCCGUCCGCUCAUCCUUCCUUCGGAGGGUCUUGGGGAGAGGAGAAAUGCUCAAGGACGAUGCGCUUUGCAGCGUCUCAAGGGAAACUAGAUCUCAACGGAUACCAGAAGUCUGGAGCGUCUUCCUGGAGGAAGGCGGCCCGAGGCCUGCGGUUGCAGGGAGGCUUGCGGAGCACAGCGCCCUCUCUCAGCCUGAGCUAUCCAGUGGCUUCCAGCAUCCCAGCUGGCCGACUCCACUUCCUCUCUCUUCCUCCUACUGCGGGUCUUCUUCUUCUCUUUGGGGACCGAAUCUCGCUCUGUCGCCCAGGCUGGAGUGCAGUGGCGCGAUCUCGGCUUACUGCAACCUCCGCCUCCCGGGUUGAAGCGAUUCUCCUGCCUCAGCCUCCCGAAUAGCUGGGACUACAGGCGCGUGCCACCACGCCCGGCUAAUUUUUUGUAUUUUUAGUUGAGACGGGGUUUCACCCUGUUAGCCAGGAUGGUCUCGAUCUCCUGGCCUCUUGAUCCGCCCGCCUCGGCCUCCCAAAGUGCUGGGAUUACAGGCGUGAGCCUCCGCGCCCGGCCUACUGCGGCUCUUCUAUCCUGGUGUUCUUUGAAUGCCUAUCUUCCUUUUGUGCCACAGAACCUCUCACGCCCGCCACAGGUUGCUCAUUUCCUUGGUUGUUCUGAACUUUAAAUAAGUUAAUGUAUGUAAGAGUGCCAUAAAUGCUCAGUAAUUGACAUCUGUUAUUUUCAUCAGUAACAUCAUCUGAAUCAUCUGUAUUGUCUAUUUUUAACAACUGCAUUUUUCAUUGUCCAAAUAAAGUCACAUACAUUUGAACAUUAUAUAAUGAUUGAAUAAUAAAAUUAUUCUGCUAUUUUACAAUAAAAA
ensembl:lncRNA novel transcript